rnacentral:rRNA from 1 species
GACGAACGCUGGCGGCGUGCUUAACACAUGCAAGUCGAACGGAAAGGCCCUGCUUUUGUUGGGUGCUCGAGUGGCGAACGGGUGAGUAACACGUGAGUAACCUGCCCUUGACUUUGGGAUAACUUCAGGAAACUGGGGCUAAUACCGGAUAGGAUCUCCUGCUGCGUGGUGGUGGUUGGAAAGUUUCGGCGGUUGGGGAUGGACUCGCGGCUUCUCAGCUUCUUGGUGGGGUAGUGGCUUACCAAGGCUUUGACGGGUAGCCGGCCUGAGAGGGUGACCGGCGACAAUGGGACUAAGGUACGGCGCAGACUCCUACGGGCGGCAGCAGUGGAGAAUAUUACAGAACGGGCGCAAGCCUGAUGCAGCAACGCCGCGUGCGGGAUGACGGCCUUCGGGUGAUAAACCGCUUUCGCCUGUGACGAAGCGUGAGUGACGGUAAUGGGUAAAGAAGCACCGGCUAACUACGUG